rnacentral:rRNA from 1 species
GACAGAGGAUGCAAGCGUUAUCCGGAAUGAUUGGGCGUAAAGCGUCUGUAGGUGGCUUUUUAAGUCCGCCGUCAAAUCCCAGGGCUCAACCCCUGGACAGGCGGUGGAAACUACCAAGCUGGAGUACGGUAGGGGGCAGGGGGAAUUUCCGGUGGAGCGGUGAAAUGCGUAGAGAUCGGAAAGAACACCAACGGGCGAAAGGCGACUCUGC